GGGCCCGCACAAGCGGCGGAGGAUGUUGCUUAAUUCGAUGCAACGCGAAGAACCUUACCAAGGUUUGACAUGCAGGGAAAAGCCAUAGAGAUAUGGUGUCCGUAAGGGUCCUGCACAGGUGGUGCAUGGCUGUCGUCAGCUCGUGUCGUGAGAUGUUGGGUUAAGUCCCGCAACGAGCGCAACCCUCGUUCUAUGUUGCCAGCGGGUAAUGCCGGGAACUCAUAGGAGACUGCCGGGGUCAACUCGGAGGAAGGUGGGGAUGACGUCAAGUCCUCAUGCCCCUUAUAUCUUGGGCUGCAAACAUCCUACAAUGGCCGGUACAAAGGGUUGCGAGACCGCAAGGUGGAGCGAAUCUCAAAAAGCCGGUCUCAGUUCGGAUUGGGGUCUGCAACUCGACCCCAUGAAGUCGGAGUCGCUAGUAAUCGCGAAUCAGCAACGUCGCGGUGAAUACGUUCCCGGGCCUU
rnacentral:rRNA from 1 species